AUGUCUUUGAAGGAGGGUAUAGAGUCUUGGAUGGCCUCUGGAGGUGUUACAGGAACAUUUGGAAAGACACACUCAGACUUAAUGUUCCCAAUACUUGUCUCUAAUGGAAAUUUAGUUAGCUGGAUCUUCAUUGUUGGUAUUUUAAAAGGUGUCCAGUGUGAGGUGCAAUUUGUAGUCUGGAGGAGACCUGAGAAAGUCUGAGGAUUCUCUGAAGCUCUCCUGAGCACCCUCUGGGCUUAGCAGCUAACCCAUGUACUGGAUUCGCCAGGAUCCAGGGAAGGGGCUGCAGUGGGUCUUGCAAAUUAGUAUUAGGGCUGGCAGCACAUGCUACACAGACUCCAUGAAGUGUCGAUUCACCAUCUCCAGAGACAAUGUCAUGAACACUCUGUUCUAUACCUGGAGAUGAAUAGUCUGAGAGCUGAAGAUUCAACCAUGUAUUACUGUGCAAAAAGACAUAGUGAGGGGGAGUCAGUGUGA